UACGGAGGAUCCAAGCGUUAUCCGGAAUCAUUGGGUUUAAAGGGUCCGUAGGCGGAUUUAUAAGUCAGUGGUGAAAGUUUGCGGCUUAACCGUAAAAUUGCCAUUGAUACUGUAGAUCUUGAAUAAUUGUGAAGUGGUUAGAAUAAGUAGUGUAGCGGUGAAAUGCAUAGAUAUUACUUAGAAUACCGAUUGCGAAGGCAGAUCACUAACAAUUUAUUGACGCUGAGGGACGAAAGCGUGGGUAGCGAACAGG
rnacentral:rRNA from 1 species